AGCGUGUGUGCUCAGCGGUUCACACAUACUACCAAGCAAAUGAAGCGGUGCAACUGUCAAAUUAUGCGCGCUUUUUUCGUCACCCUCGCGGCUUCGCCAUGUUUUUUCACCAGUCCAGUUGACUGCCCUUUGGUUUGGUACUGACAAAAAUUCAUCGUUAAACAACUUCCCCCCAUAAGCCAUCGGUAUCAAGCAGCCCUGACCGUUCUGACCGAGUCGUACUCCUGAUUCGCCUGAUUCGGAGUUUCGGCGCCGGUUGGCUGGUGGUUCGCCUUUUCCGGAACGAUGACGCGGUUUCGGGUUUACGACGCCAGGAAUAUUCUCAGGACAGCAAUGUUCAUGGUAAAGAUAAUUUCGAGGCGAGAUGGACAUUGAUGGGCCGUCUGGCAACUGAUAUCACAAAGGAAAAAAAGAUUAUUUCGAGUGAGAAUUUUAUGCAUGACGUUUCUAUCUGCCUUUUUUUAUUUCCGAAGACACCAGCUGCCGGUUAAAAUCAUUGCGGGAUCUAACCAAAACUACAUCCGGGUCAGAUCCCAAUUUAAAAUCAUCCAUCAUAUGCUUCACACUCGAGAGAUGUUCGAAACGAUGUCACCGGAUUCAUCGACGAGAACUUUCGACCCGAUUUGGCCAAUAUAAUAUAACGAAACACUCGUUGACCAGCGGGAGGAUUACGCAGCAGAUUUUCAGGGCUAUGGAGUCACCACAUCGCAAGGUGUUCCGCAUGCUGCCACGAUUCCGGUGACAGA